rnacentral:rRNA from 1 species
CGCGAUGGCUCAUUAAAUCAGUUAUGGUUCACUCGAUCGUACAGUUUACAUGGAUAACUGUGGUAAUUCUAGAGCUAAUACAUGCAUUCAGCCCGUACCCUCGUGGUGCGGGCGCAGUUAUUUGCCCAAGACCAUUCCGGCCCUCGGGUCGGUUAAUUGGUGACUCUGAAUAACCGAAGCGGAGCGCGUGGUCUCGUACCGGCGCCAGAUCGUUCAAGUGUCUGACUUAUCAGCUUGUAGUUAGGUUAUGUUCCUAACUAGGCGGUAACGGGUAACGGGUAGUCAGGGCUAGACACCGGAGA